AAACCAACAGGGAUUGCCCUAGUAACGGCGAGUGAAGCGGCAACAGCUCAAAUUUGAAAUCUGGCCUUCGGGUCCGAGUUGUACUUUGUAGAGGAUGCUUUGGGUGCGGUGCCUUCCGAGUUCCUUGGAACAGGACGCCUUAGAGGGUGAGAGCCCCGUACGGUUGGACACUAAGCCUAUGUAAAGCUCCUUCGACGAGUCGAGUAGUUUGGGAAUGCUGCUCUAAAUGGGAGGUAAAUUUCUUCUAAAGCUAAAUACCGGCCAGAGACCGAUAGCGCACAAGUAGAGUGAUCGAAAGAUGAAAAGUACUUUGAAAAGAGGGUUAAAUAGCACGUGAAAUUGUUGAAAGGGAAGCGUUUAUGACCAGACCUUUGCCUGGCGGAUCAUCCGGUGUUCUUCACCGGUGCACUUCGCCUGGCUUAGGCCAGCAUCGAUUUCUGCAGGGGGAUAAAGACCAUGGGAACGUAGCUCUCUUCGGAGAGUGUUAUAGCCCUAGGUGUAAUACCUCUGCGGGGAUCGAGGUUCGCGCUUCUGCAAGGAUGCUGGCGUAAUGGUCAUCAACGACC
rnacentral:rRNA from 1 species